UCGCUACUACCGAUUGAAUGGCUUAGUGAGCCCCAGGGACUGUUGAACCCUGUUGGAAACUUCGGGGAUCAUACGGGAAGGACGUCAAACUUGAUCAUUUAGAGGAAGUAA
rnacentral:rRNA from 1 species